UGGGGAAUAUUGCACAAUGGGCGCAAGCCUGAUGCAGCCAUGCCGCGUGUAUGAAGAAGGCCUUCGGGUUGUAAAGUACUUUCAGUCGGGAGGAAGGUGGUAAGGUUAAUAACCUUAUCAAUUGACGUUACCGACAGAAGAAGCACCGGCUAACUCCGUGCCAGCAGCCGCGGUAAUACGGAGGGUGCAAGCGUUAAUCGGAAUUACUGGGCGUAAAGCGCACGCAGGCGGUUGAUUGAGUCAGAUGUGAAAUCCCCGGGCUUAACCUGGGAAUUGCAUCUGAUACUGGUCAGCUAGAGUCUUGUAGAGGGGGGUAGAAUUCCAUGUGUAGCGGUGAAAUGCGUAGAGAUGUGGAGGAAUACCGGUGGCGAAGGCGGCCCCCUGGACAAAGACUGACGCUCAGGUGCGAAAGCGUGGGGAGCAAACAGG
rnacentral:rRNA from 1 species